rnacentral:lncRNA from 1 species
CUUCCACCGGGCCUCUUGGGCUGUGUACUCUUGACACUCUUGCUCUGAGAACUAAGCAGGCAUAUUUCAUAUCAAAAUAGUAAAGAACUUCCUUUCCAAAGGCAGGACUUGCUUCUGUGAGGUACUGAGCCACCCGUCCCUGGAGGAAAGCAAGAACAGAGCAGAUCAGAGCCCAGGCAGACAUCUUGGAUGAUGGGGUACAUCUUGCCAUCCAGAGGCAAUGCUGGAGCGGGCAGUUGUCUGCGGGGAGGCCCUGGCUCACUCUGGGCCAAAUAACAGGACUGAUUGCAGCCUGCGAUGAAACAUCCUGUUUCUCCCAACCAGAAACAGGUAGAGAAGUCAGCAUUUUACAUGAUUCUGGGAGGGAAGAAAGGAGACAGGAACCAAGGAGCCUGAGUGGGGAUUUGCCCACCACUGGGCAGCCAGGCUCCCGUCAGGAAGGCUUUUCAGAGGGAGUGUUGGAAGGAGUCGUCGAGGAGUCUUCCUCACCCAGGAAGUCUUCCUCACCGGGUGAGCCCCAACCUGCUGGACCUGCUCAGAAUUUGCCCAACAGGGGAUCCUGGUUGACUGAGGUCUGCUAAUUCCAACUGGCCUACGCUAAAUUCUCCCAGAAUGUCUUCAUCAUCAAUGAAUCGCUUUCCACUGACACGACGCCUGGAAGAACAUAAACACUGUGAGGAUAAAUGCCAAUGAAAUAAUAAUAAAAUAAACUUUCUUUGGUGGCCAGAGGGAAACAGAAUGCCUACCCAUUUCCCCACCCCCCGCCCCGCCGCUGCCCCUUGCAGGAUUUCUUUUAGAAAACUAGUAUUUGUAAAUCAUUUUCCUACCUAUUGGAGAUGAGUGCCAACCUUUUUAAAGGCCAAGUGAGCCUCUUUUUUUAAUACUCUAGGAAUGCGUCUUGGAGGGGUUGCAGUCAUCUUUUUGGGAUCUGAACAUUCAUUCACAGCUGUCAGCUUAUGUCCUUGUAUCUGACGGCACUGACCUAGGUGCAUGGCUGCCAGAAGUAACUUCCUGCUUGUCACAAAAAUGCAAUCUCCUGCCUGCCCCUGAUUCUCCCCAGCCCUGGCUUUGGAUAAAGACAAUUAAUAUGAACGUGAUGAAUUGCGUCUCUCUGGCUAUGUAAAAAAGGGAUAUUUAUUUCCACUUUUGACUCUAAAACUUUGAGUUUGUUUGUUAACAUGGCA